GUCUUAAUAGCUCAGUGGUUAGAGCGCUAGCACGGUAUGCCAGAGGCCCUGGGUACAAGUCCCGGUUGAGACU
rnacentral:tRNA from 1 species